rnacentral:rRNA from 1 species
CCCCGGUAGUCCUAGCCGUAAACGAUGUAUACUUGGUGGUAGGGGAAUCGACCCCUCUACUGCCGGAGCUAACGCAUUAAGUAUACCGCCUGGGGAGUACGGUCGCAAGGCUAAAACUCAAAGAAAUUGACGGGGCCCGCACAAGCGGUGGAGCAUGUGGUUUAAUACGACGCAACGCGUAGAACCUUACCAAGGCUGACAUGUAUCUGACAUCCUGUGAAAGCAGGCUUUCCUUCGGACAGAUACACAGGUGUUGCAUGGCUGUCGUCAGCUCGUGUCGUGAGAUGUUGGGUUAAGUCCCGCAACGAGCGCAACCCACGUCCUUAGUUGCCAGCAUUAAGUUGGGGACUCUAGGGAGACUGCCUCGGUUAACGGGGAGGAAGGUGUGGAUGACGUCAAGUCAGUACGGCCCUUACGCCUUGGGCCACACACGUGCUACAAUGGCUGGUACAAAGAGAAGCGAGAUCGCGAGGUUAAGCCAAUCUCAAAAAGCCAGUCCCAGUUCGGAUUGGAGGCUGCAAUUCGCCUCCAUGAAGUUGGAAUCGCUAGUAAUGGCAGAUCAGCUACGCUGCCGUGAAUACGUUCCCGGGCCUUGUACACACCGCCCGUCACAUCACCCGAGUUGGAUGCACCCGAAGUCGCUGCACUGACCCUUUAUUGGGAGGGAAGCGCCUAAGGUGUGUUUGGUGAGGAGGAUGAAGUCGUAACAAGGUAGCCGUAUCGGAAGUGCGGCUG